rnacentral:SRP_RNA from 1 species
GCUGGGCGUGGUGGCGUGUGCCUGUAGUCCCAGCUACUUGGGAGGCUGAGGCUGGAGGAUCGCUUGAGCCCAGGAGUUCUGGGCUGCAGUGCGCUAUGCCAAUCGGGUGUCCGCACUAAGUUUGACAUCAAUAUGGUGACCUCCCGGGAGUGGGGGACCACCAGGUUGCUUAAGGAGGGGUGAACCGGUCCAGGUCAGAAACGGAAGGUUAUUGUUGGUCAGACCAGUUAAAAAACAAAACAACUUCCAGUUGUCCCUGCAAAUUGAUAACAUAGAAAUGAGCUUAUU